rnacentral:rRNA from 1 species
CGCAAAUUACCCAAUCCUGACUCAGGGAGGUAGUGACAAGAAAUAACAACACUGGAAAUUCUUUUUCUAGUGAUUGGAAUGAUGGGAAUCCAAACCCCUUUCAGAGUAACAAUUGGAGGGCAAGUCUGGUGCCAGCAGCCGCGGUAAUUCCAGCUCCAAUAGCGUAUAUUAAAGUUGUUGCAGUUAAAAAGCUCGUAGUUGGAUAUCUGCUGGAAGCAGCCAGUCCGCCCUUUGUGGGUGUGCACUUGGUGAAUUCUGGCAUCCUCCUGAUUGGUGUCAUCAUCACUUCAUUGUGUUGGUGGCAGCUGUCAGGACCGUUACUUUGAGAAAAUUAGAGUGUUUCAAGCAGGCUUGUUGCCUUGAAUACUGCAGCAUGGAAUAACAAGAUAGGAUUUCGGUUCUAUUUUGUUGGUUUCUAGGACUGAAGUAAUGAUUAAUAGGGACAGUUGGGGGCAUUCGUAUUUAACUGUCAGAGGUGAAAUUCUUAGAUUUGUUAAAGACGAACUACUGCGAAAGCAUUUGCCAAAGAUGUUUUCAUUAAUCAAGAACGAAAGUUAGGGGCUCGAAGAUGAUCAGAUACCGUCGUAGUCUUAACCAUAAACUAUGCCGACUAGAGAUAGGAAAAAGUCAUCCUUGACUUCUCCUGCACCUUAUGAGAAAUC